GUUAGGAAUAUUGGACAAUGGGCGCAAGCCUGAUCCAGCCAUGCCGCGUGAGUGAUGAAGGCCUUCGGGUUGUAAAGCUCUUUAGUCCACGAAUAUAAUGACUGUAGUGGAAGAAUAAGCCCCGGCUAACUUCGUGCCAGCAGCCGCGGUAAUACGAAGGGGGCGAGCGUUAUUCGGAAUCACUGGGCGUAAAGCGUGCGUAGGCUGUUUUGUAAGUCAGAAGUGAAAGCCCAGGGCUUAACCCUGGAAUUGCUUUUGAAACUACAAGACUCGCAUUCGGGAGAGGAUAGCGUAAUUGUCAGUGUAGCAGUGAAAUGCGUAGAUAUUGACAGGAACACCAGUGGCGCAAGCGGCUAUCUGGACCGAUAUUGACGCUGAGGCACGAAAGCGUGGGGAGCAAACAGGAUUAGAAACCCCAGUAGUCC
rnacentral:rRNA from 1 species